UUUCCGUAGGUGAACCUGCGGAAGGAUCAUUAUUGUAUAACCGAGGUGCGAGGGCUGUCGCUGACCCGAAAGGUCGUGCACGCCCGAGUGCCCUCACACACAUCCAUCUCACCCCUAUGUGCACCACCGCGUGGGUCCCCCUUUGGCUUGUUCGGAGGGGGGCUUAUGUUUCCACACAAACUUUGUAUGCAGUGUAGAAUGUAUUUUUUGUUUUUGCGAUCACGCAAUCAAUACAACUUUCAACAACGGAUCUCUUGGCUCUC
rnacentral:misc_RNA from 1 species